rnacentral:lncRNA from 1 species
UAAUUUUUAUUUUUUUAACGCACAAACAUGUGAAAAGUGUUUGGAAGCUCCAUAAAAUACUUGUCUAGGAGCGUGGCAUCAUGCAGGUCCGUGAGUUCUUCCAGUAUCCCACUUAUUGGCAUUCAGAAAAUGUCUGGGAAAUGCAGAGGUCAUGACCAUUACCAGGCACAGAGACACAUCUGAGAUGUGGCUUUUCAUUUAUUGCCCUCCAACAUCCAGACAGUGUUGCCUCCCUUCUAUAAUGCUACAAUUGUAUGGAGAUCCAGGUACCAAAGAGCAGGUGUAGUUGUCAGUGGUUAGAAAACAGACAUAGGCUUGGAGAGGAAUUUUCUAGAGGCAGCUGUCAGGUGAGAAGAGUUGGCAUCCUUCUUCAUAACAAAGAGCAUUGGGAGGUGGAGGGUCUGAUAAACUCUCAACACAAGUCUGUGUCAAUGGUGUUAUGGAAGUCUCAGGCUCAGAAAUCAAGCACACCCAUUGAAUAAGAACUUGGAUCCUAAGUGCUAUGUAACAUUAUGAAGACGCUCUCCUCAUGCAGAGGCACAAUUUCUCCACUCAAUGAUGAAAGCAUCCUGCUAAGAAUUGGAUGUGGCAUUGUUCCCAAGAACACUCACCAAUUCAAUUCUUCUGUGCUAAUUCCCAUCUCAGAGUCUGCUUCCAAGGGACUCAACUUGCAACAAUGGCAGGGGUGGUCUAAGAAAACAGAUGUUCAUAUGGGAUUUUGAAGCUGCCACCCACCAGCCAGCCAGCAGUGAGGACCCUGAUCUUCAGAAGAAGGAGGGCAGUUGCCACAUAAUGGAAGAGAAGAAUGUGAUCCACUAGGUUGCCUCUUGACUUUCCCUUGCUCAUCCUGAUGAUAAAAAGAUAAAUACAACAGUCAUGCUUAAGAAGGGUAUGGAGAUCAGGAACUCAGAGGUCUCAGGAAUAAGGAUCCAAGUCAUGCCAACAGGUAAACCAUCUACUCAACAAAGAUGGUGGCUGAGAAUGAGACAAUCUAGAAUGGGUAGUACAUGAUGAGUAUCUACUCAUCAAGCAGUUGUGGCCCCAACAGCUUGGGCUCCAACUACUUACAGCCAGGGCUGUAACUUAUCCUACUAGCCUUCUUAUCCAUUUUCCCCAGGAAAAGAGGUCCAACACAAUUUUGGAGGAACUCUUCCCAGAAUUUACAUGGAGAAGUGGAUUUGGGCAGUGCAAAUGGCAGACCAUAGUGGAAGCUGUGAUGUGCCACUCUGGCCCCUUUAAGACUGAAGGACUUAUUUCUCCAGCUAUUGAGGGCACUAUUGGCUACAGGUCUCAGUAAUUACCCUAGGUUGGAGAGUUCUGCCUUCCACAAACUCAUGCCUCCUCCCUAGGGCAACCCAGAUCCAAUAACUGGUCAGUGUGUAAUAUUAAGACCCAGACUCCUCAACUUAUCUCAGGACAACAUUAAAGGGCGUCACAGCUUCCGGGUCCCCAAAGGGUUGGCCUGGUCUUUGUUGAAACUACGUCACAGCCCAAUUUCUUCCUCUGUCCCAUACUGACUGCUUCUUUCUCUUCCUUUCCACAAUGGUGAUCCCAAGAGUGCUCCCUACAAAACUUCCCUCACGCUAGUCUCCAUCCCAGAAUCUGUUUCCUAGGAAACCCAUCCUUCAACAAGAAUAUUAUAGAAACACCUGAUGAAAUUUGAAUAUAGACUCUUGAUUAGAUAAUGGGAUUGUAUCAGUGUUAAAUUUCCUGAUUUUUGACCAUAUACAGUGUUUUGGUUUUUUUCAAAGAUUUAAAAAAUUUUUUUUUCCUUUUUCUCCCAAAGCCCCCCGGUACAUAGUUGUGUAUUUUCUAGUUGUGGGUCCUUCUAGUUGUGGUACGUGGGACACUGCCCCAGCACAGCCCGAUGAGCAGUGCCAUGUCUGCACCCAGGACUCGAACCAGCAAAACACUGGGCUGCCUAAGCAGAGCACGGGAGCUCAACCACUCAGCCACAGGGCUGGCCUCCCAUAUGCAGUGUUUAUAUAAGAGAAUGUCUUUGUUCUUAGGAAACACACACUGGCGUAUACAGGGAUAAAGGCACACAAUAUCUACAACUUAAUCUCAACUGAUUUAGAAAAAAUUGUACAUGGAGAGGUGGAGGAUCAGAGAGAGAAAGAAGAAACUAGGGCAAAAUGUAAACAAUUAGUGAAUCUGGGUAAAAGGUAUAGGGAAGGCAUUUCUACACUUCUUUCAUCUUUUCUAUGUCUGAAUCUAUAUCAAAAUAAAAAGUUACCAAAACAAAGUGACCAGACUUCAUCUCAUUCCCAGAAAUUCUGAUUCACUUGGCUACUAUUAUAUUCCCAAUGCUCAGCCCUAGUCUAU